GACGAACGCUGGCGGCGUGCUUAACACAUGCAAGUCGAACGGUGAAGGGACUGGUUUUGCUGGUCCUGGAUGAGUGGCGAACGGGUGAGUAACACGUGAGUAACCUGCCCCCUUCUUCUGGAUAACCGCAUGAAAGUGUGGCUAAUACGGGAUAUUCUGGGUCUGUCGCAUGGUGGGCCUGGGAAAGAUUGCGCCUUUUUUGGUGUUUUUGGUGGGGGAUGGGCUCGCGGCCUAUCAGCUUGUUGGUGGGGUGAUGGCCUACCAAGGCGGUGACGGGUAGCCGGCCUGAGAGGGUGGACGGUCACACUGGGACUGAGACACGGCCCAGACUCCUACGGGAGGCAGCAGUGGGGAAUAUUGCACGAUGGGCGCAAGCCUGAUGCAGCGACGCCGCGUGAGGGAUGGAGGCCUUCGGGUUGUGAACCUCUUUCGCCAGUGAAGCAGGCCUGCCUCUUUGUGUGGGUGGGUUGACGGUAGCUGGAUAAGAAGCGCCGGCUAACUACGUG
rnacentral:rRNA from 1 species